rnacentral:lncRNA from 1 species
GCAUGUUGUUGGUGGUGUGGUCUACAGCCAUAAAUUGCAAGAGCCAAGAUGAUUUGACUGCCUCUUCCUGUCUAUGAUCUGCCUAUUUGGGGGUCCAACUCAACCUCUGAGAAUCAAGUUCUCCCAUGUCCAUUGUAGGCACUUCUGGAACAUAAGAAGGAACAGAUCAGCCUCAUCAAAUCAAAUACUAGUCUCACUCCGUCACCAGGCACCAGGCUGGAGUGCAGUGGCACGACCUCGGCUCACUGCAACCUCCGCCUCCGGGUUCAAGCAAUUCUCCUGCCUCAGCCUCCCGAGUAGCUGGGACUACAGAAAUGGUUCUCUUUAUUGCGAGGCUGCAAGGUCACCCAAUGAGAGAGGGGCCAAAUAAGCUGGAACAUCAUCUAAUACACUGAAU